rnacentral:lncRNA from 13 species
GGAUUUUUGUUUUAUUAAAUUCAAAGUACACCCAAUACAAGUCUAGCUAAUGACUUCUGCUCUGAUGUUCACCCUUGUUUGCCUUCCCUGCAAAGCAGAACCUCUGGCUACUGUUUCACUUUUAAACCUUAGAAAGAAGUUGCAUUGGGAGAAAAAGCAAAACAAAGCAGAAUACUAGGAUAAAGAACAAAACAAUAAGUAUCUUAAUAGCCACCAGCUGGCUUGCACUUACUUGUUUCUACUCCUCACCCCAACAAGGUUUUUCAUUGCCUUGAUAUUUAUCCUGUACCACAGCCACCUACUGCAAGUAUCAGUAGUCAUGAUAUUAACUUUCCCUUUGAAAUGUGUGCUAAGGCCUAUCUUAAUGGCAGAAAUAGAAAAAGCAACAUGCAAUAAACAUUUUCAAAUUGAAGAAAACAAAAAGGUUUAAAAAUAUCAUACUUUGAGAUAAGCGUGAGUUACAUAUUCAACGGAGUGUUACAUGCUUAUUAAUAUUUUUAUCAUAAAUCUUAUUUAUCACUAAAGUUGAUUUGUCACUCAAGCAGUUUGUGUACAUGAUAGGCAUUCAUAGUAUAAGCUGUAAGAAAGAUGACUGCUAUGUUCUUUUAAGGCAGUCCCAGGGAUUGUCAGUCUUUGUGUAAAUUCAUAGAAGGAAUGUUAUUUACCACUUAUUCCAGUGACUUCUGAUAAAAAAAAAUUUAAAUUAUAAUUCUUACAGACAUAUAACCUCAGUUUGUAGAGUGAGUAAAGCAAAUUGCCCUCUAUAAUGUAGGGGAACCUCAUCUUAUCAGUUGAAGAUCAGAAUAGAACAAAAAGGCUGAGCAAGAGGGGACUCCCUCUGACUGCCUGACUGAGCUGGCACUUUAAUCUUUUGCAGCCUUCAGACUUGGACUGAAACACUGGCACUUUUUGAAUCUGAAGUUGGCCAGCUUUCAGCUAGAACUCACACCAAUAGCUCUCCUGAUUUUCAGGCCUUUGGACUUGUAUUAAAACUACAUGUCAGUUCUCCUUGGUUUUGGACUAGAACUCCACAGCAGCACUCCCGUGAACUGCAGAUCUUGGGAUUUCUCAGCCUCCUUAUUCAUGGACAUGGAUGAAUCUGGAGAACAUCAUUCUCAGCAAACUGACACAAGAACAGAAAAUGAAACACCACAUAUUCUCACUCAUAGGCGGGUGAUGAAAAAUGAGAACACAUGGACACAGAAAGGGGAGUACUAAACACUGGGGUCUACUGGGGGGAAAAGGGGAGGGCCAGUG